ACUGAGCGGCGGACGGGUGAGUAACGCGUGGGUAACCUGCCUCAUACAGGGGGAUAACAGUUGGAAACGGCUGCUAAUACCGCAUAAGCGUACAGUACCGCAUGGUACGGUGUGAAAAACUCCGGUGGUAUGAGAUGGACCCGCGUCUGAUUAGGUAGUUGGUGGGGUAACGGCCUACCAAGCCGACGAUCAGUAGCCGACCUGAGAGGGUGACCGGCCACAUUGGGACUGAGACACGGCCCAA
rnacentral:rRNA from 1 species